UACAGGAAUGGAAUCCAGUAGAGAAGGAACUCAUACAAAGAUGGUGUUUUUGGAACAACAUGUCCUAUUCCUCCUCAAAAGAACUUUAGAGUUUAGAUACAUACUUCAAGUCAAGGAUCAAAUUGGUAGCUUCUAUUAUUUCCCAUCACUUACAUUCCAUAAAGCUGCUGGUGCUUUUGGUGGUAUGAGGAUCCUAAGUUGACGACACAAGAUCCGAAUAUUUCACGGUGUGGUUGUUGUCAAUUGUUACGAUCUUUGUAGCUGAUAUAUGUAGCCUACAUAAUAAAGCUGAUAUCACAUGUUAAUUCUGAUUUUCGCAAACGUAAAUAUUUAUUCUUGACAGUUGAAAACUCCAAUAUGAUUCUAAUAUUUUACACUAAUGAAGUUGGUUCUUUUUCAGGCUUUUCCUUCAAUGAAGUUGGUUCUGUGCGCAAAAGCAAUGAAAAAGUUGUUUGCUAUCAUUCCUUAAUCUGGCUUUCAUAAUGAAGAGGAUUAAUUGGAAAUUUGGUAUGCUUAGUGAUUGUUGAAGUGGAGGUUUAAUUGAUGAGGUUGAAUGGAAGGUAUUGGUGACGGGAAUCUGACGAUGAUGGUGGAAGCAUUUGUGAAGGAAUAUCUUGCUUGGGAAAUAAAAGAAUACAAGAUUUUGGAUUCUUUCUAUUUUCAAGAGGGGUGAUGUUUUCAAAGCUGUCUUUCAUUUCAUUUCUCACAAUAGACUUGAGGUUUUCAUCUUUUGUCGAGUUUGCUAUUCCCAUUUUCCAUCUCCGCUUGAGAACUUUCAUCUGCAAUUUCAGUUUCAGCAUUGAUAUCUGAAGGAUGUUGGCUCUAUGUUAUAGCAUCUUAUUCUUGAGGAUCUAUUUCAGUAUGUAGAUCAUGUUCAGUUUAGGGUUCAAAAUUUGACACUGAUGCAUCUGGUGGUGCAGGUACGAUGUAUGGAUCGUCCGAGUUUCCUGUCGGUGCACAACUGCAUUUUGGAAAGGCUUAUGAGAUUAUGUAAUACAUGAUUUCUCGGGUUAGCUAAAUGAAUUGGGUUAGUUAGUGUAUUGUGGAACAUUAGUGAUUUUUUAAAAUUCUGCUAUG